UACGGAGGGUGCGAGCGUUAAUCGGAAUUACUGGGCGUAAAGGGUGCGUAGGCGGCCAUUUAAGUUAUUUGUGAAAGUCCCGGGCUUAACCUGGGUUGGACGAGUGAUACUGGAUGGCUUGAAUAUAGUAGAGGGCAGUGGAAUUCCCGGUGUAGCGGUGAAAUGCGUAGAUAUCGGGAGGAACAUCGGUGGCGAAGGCGGCUGCCUGGACUAAUAUUGACGCUGAGGCACGAAAGCGUGGGGAGCAAACAGG
rnacentral:rRNA from 1 species